UACGUAGGGCGCGAGCGUUGUCCGGAAUUAUUGGGCGUAAAGAGCUCGUAGGCGGUCUGUUACGUCCGCUGUGAAAACCCAGGGCUUAACCCCGGGCUUGCAGUGGAUACGGGCAGACUAGAGGCAGGUAGGGGAGAAUGGAAUUCCCGGUGUAGCGGUGAAAUGCGCAGAUAUCGGGAGGAACACCGGUGGCGAAGGCGGUUCUCUGGGCCUGACCUGACGCUGAGGAGCGAAAGCGUGGGGAGCGAACAGG
rnacentral:rRNA from 1 species